rnacentral:rRNA from 1 species
GAGGAACGCUGGCGGCGUGCCUAAUACAUGCAAGUCGAGCGAACGGACGAGAAGCUUGCUUCUCUGAUGUUAGCGGCGGACGGGUGAGUAACACGUGGAUAACCUACCUAUAAGACUGGGAUAACUUCGGGAAACCGUAGCUAAUACCGGAUAAUAUUUUGAACCGCAUGGUUCAAAAGUGAAAGACGGUCUUGCUGUCACUUAUAGAUGGAUCCGCGCUGCAUUAGCUAGUUGGUAAGGUAACGGCUUACCAAGGCAACGAUGCAUAGCCGACCUGAGAGGGUGAUCGGCCACACUGGAACUGAGACACGGUCCCGACUCCUACGGGAGGAAGCAGUAGGGAAUCUUCCGCAAUGGGCGAAAGCCUGACGGAGCAACGCCGCGUGAGUGAUGAAGGUCUUCGGAUCGUAAAACUCUGUUAUUAGGGAAGAACAUAUGUGUAAGUAACUGUGCACAUCUUGACGGUACCUAAUCAGAAAGCCACGGCUCGCUACGUG